CUGUUUCCCUGUUGCCUGCUCCCGGAGGGGGUGGUCACGUGCCCGAUCCAUCUGCCUCCUGUCUUCCGGGGAUUCUCCCGCCGAGGCUUCUCUGGUGAUGUCAUGCCUUAACUCUUCUCUCCCCAGGCAGCCCCACUGUCAGGCUGUCCUGGUGGGAGUGGGCUCUGAGGAGGAUGGCCUACCCGUCUUUCCAGCGGACCAUGCCGCUUGCAGCUGUGAGGUUGGGGGAGCCGGGGGCGUCUCUCCCCAGCUGGUCUGGGUCCUCCUGGUGCUGCCAGGACCGAGAGCAGCUGCCCUACUGCCCCCACCCUGUCCCACAGUGCAUGGGUGCCAGACCUGGAUGGGCUGCAGUAGUGCAGUGGGGUGAGGGGAGGUGCCGCAGGGUUGAGGGGCUCCAGAUGGGUCCAGGGUUGACUCUGAACUCCUAGAGGAGAGGCGGGUGAGGCUGGCUCAGCCCUUGGUGGGCACUGUCCCUGAGGGACUCCCAGCGGCCGGCUGUCCUGGGAGAGGCUGGUCCAGCCUUCUUCCCCGAGGGCACAGCAGCGGCUGCCUCUGCCUGCCUGGGGUUGGGGGGGCGGGGGGAAGUGCACUGAACCUGGUCCCAGUCCUGCCCCCGUAGCAGGCAGGCGUCUGUCUCCCAGCCUGUUUCCUGAAAGCCCCUUCCCAUGGUGGAGCCCCUCAGGGAGGUGCGGGGGGAGGUGAAGCCCCGAGGGGGCUGAGGCUGCAGGUGACCCCAGCCAGCCCCGUUCUUGCUUUAGGGCGACCAUUGACGAGGUGGAGACGGACGUGGUGGAGAUUGAGGCCAAACUGGACAAGGUGAAGGGCGGGCCUGGAGCGCCCUGUGCCCGGCCAAGCUUGGGAUGGCCACAUGGCCAGACUCGCCCUCCAGGCCUUACUAAGCCACUUACACCCCCCAUAUGUGGAGCAUGCGUGUGGUGCUCCAGGUCCUGGUCCCUGUGUCUUAGCAUGUGUGUUCCAGGGUGCACAUGUCACAUGCACACAUGUGGCUGGCCCUGAGUCUCGUCCCAUCUGGGAGGGGCUGGGCUGUGGUGAGUCCCCGACCCACGGUGGCUGCCCGUCCCCUCUGCUGGGCUGGUGACACGGGGACAGCUGCUGUGUGGGCUGAGCCUUGGUGUGGCUGGGGCUGGGGCUGAGAAAGGGGAGGGGGCAACAGGCCGUGGAGGGGGGAGCCGUGUCCAUGAGCCCCACAUGGGCUGAGAAAGAGGGGGCAACAGGCCGUGGAGAGGGGAGCCGUGUCCAUGAGCCCCACAUGGGCUGAGAAAGAGGAGGGGGCAACAGGCCGUGGAGCUGGGAGUGGGCAGCCUUAUCCAUGAGCCCCACAUGGGCUGGUUCUGCUGGUCCUGCUGGCCCUGGGUCCCCUGCCUGGCUCCUGGUCCCUCCCAGCCGAGCCGUGGCGGCCCCACCCUCCCCUCCCAGACGGGCCUCCAAGCCCCAGGCAGGCCCAGGCGUGAGGAAGCUGCACCGGGGCACUGAGUCCUGAGUGCCAACGCCCUGAGUGGAACCUACCCUGGGAGCUCUUCCUGCCUCUGAGUGGCCGUGUGUGGUGGCGAGUGCAGGCGCCAGUGCCCACUGUGCUCACCACGCCCCGCUGGCCCACAGCUGGUGAAGCUGUGCAGUGGCAUGGUGGAAGCCGGUAAGGCCUACGUCAGCACCAGCAGGCUUUUCGUGAGCGGCGUCCGCGACCUGUCCCAGCAGUGCCAGGGCGACACCGUCAUCUCGGAAUGUCUGCAGAGGUUCGCUGACAGCCUACAGGAGGUGGUGAACUACCACAUGAUCCUGUUUGACCAGGCCCAGAGGUCCGUGCGGCAGCAGCUCCAGAGCUUUGUCAAAGAGUGAGUGGCCCCCAGGGCUGGGGGAAGAACACUGAGGCCACGCUCCCUCCCUUGGAGGGGAAGGGGGUCUGGGGCAGAGCAGAGGCACCUUGGGCCCAGGCCUCCAGGCUGUGCAGCGGCUCCACAAGGCAGAAGGCUCAGAGGCAGACAGCCGGGUGGAGUGCGGGGGGUUCCACACCCUGCAUGUGUGGGUGGGGUGUCCAGCCCCCACAGCAGAGAGGUCCAGUCCACGUUGGGUUUGGGGGUCUGGAGUCUGGGGCAUGGCUGGGGUCUGGGCUGGACAGAUCUUGAGAGUGAGGUGGGGAGGGGCUGGGGAGGCCUGGAGCAGAUGAUCGGGGUCAGCAGGGGUGCGGGCAGGCCUGGGAUAGGCUGGUGAGGAAGGAGGCUAUGCCCAGGAGCAAAGAAAGGGCCUGGAGUGGAGGGGGGUGGGGCUGGGCAUGGUGGCUCACACCUGUAAUCCCAGCGUUUGGGAGGCCAAGGCCAGAGAAUGCCAGGAGUUUGAGACCAGCCUGGGCAACGUAAUGAGACCUCCAUCUCUAC
rnacentral:lncRNA from 1 species